CGAACGGGUGAGUAACGCGUGAGGAACCUGCCUCAAAGAGGGGGACAACAGUUGGAAACGACUGCUAAUACCGCAUAAGCCCACAGCCCGGCAUCGAGCAGAGGGAAAAGGAGUGAUCCGCUUUGAGAUGGCCUCGCGUCCGAUUAGCUAGUUGGUGAGGUAAUGGCCCACCAAGGCGACGAUCGGUAGCCGGACUGAGAGGUUGAACGGCCACAUUGGGACUGAGACACGGCCCAGACUCCUACGGGAGGCAGCAUG
rnacentral:rRNA from 1 species